AGAUUGAACGCUGGCGGCAUGCCUUACACAUGCAAGUCGAACGGCAGCACGGGAGCAAUCCUGGUGGCGAGUGGCGAACGGGUGAGUAAUACAUCGGAACGUGCCCAAUCGUGGGGGAUAACGCAGCGAAAGCUGUGCUAAUACCGCAUAAGAUCUACGGAUGAAAGCAGGGGAUCGCAAGACCUUGCGCGAAUGGAGCGGCCGAUGGCAGAUUAGGUAGUUGGUGAGGUAAAGGCUCACCAAGCCUUCGAUCUGUAGCUGGUCUGAGAGGACGACCAGCC
rnacentral:rRNA from 1 species